rfam:Malonomonas rubra DSM 5091 genome assembly, contig: EJ68DRAFT_scaffold00036.36
CUAGAUAAAGCCAAACCUGUCGUGAGAUGGGGACGGAAAGCUGCGGGUCUUAUUAUUCUUCAAAGAACUAGAAGAUAGCCGGGUUGCCAAAU